UUCCCUUUGUGCAGACCCAUGUACAUGCACAAACACAUACACUCAGUUACCCAUACACACUAAUACUAACUGAAUCCCCCAUAUAAAUUUACACUCAAUGACCACACACUCAUAUACUCACUGACCAAUAUACACUCUUUUACCCAUCAGUUGACCAGAUGUGUGCACCCUGGCAUAGUUUUCCUAUUGCUGGCUGUCAAUAGGUUCUUGGCUACCCUACCUGUCCCAGCCGCCCCACUUCUUGCUAUGCUCCCAUGUACAAGGCAGGAGAAGGCUGGUUACUUGCCCACUACAUAUUCGGGACGGGGUGGGGGACGCAGGAUGGGGGCUAGCUGUAAGUAGCAGGACAGACUUUGUGGUGGAUUACAGGCAGAGGUCAACAGUUUUAUUGCCAGGUAGCACACAUUGCUG